UACGUAGGGUGCGAGCGUUGUCCGGAAUUAUUGGGCGUAAAGAGCUCGUAGGCGGUGUGUCACGUCGUUCGUGAAAACCUGCAGCUUAACUGUGGGCGUGCGGUCGAUACGGGCAUCACUGGAGUUCGGCAGGGGAGACUGGAAUUCCUGGUGUAGCGGUGAAGUGCGCAGAUAUCAGGAGGAACACCGGUGGCGAAGGCGGGUCUCUGGGCCGAUACUGACGCUGAGGAGCGAAAGCGUGGGGAGCAAACAGG
rnacentral:rRNA from 1 species